UGGCUCUAAUCCCAAUGAGAUAACGACUUCGCUAUCCAUUAUCUGUUAUCAGUUAUCAAAUUCUGUCUGAAUUUUGAAAAAUAUUAUUAGCUGAACAUAAUAUUUUAAAGACGUUUUAAUACUUUUAAACUUUAAACUUUUUUUCGGAAUUUGAAAUUUGACAAAAUGAUAUUUCCAAAAAAAUAUACAAAUGAAAUUGUUGGAGAAAUUGGGAAUACCGUUAACAUCAGAUCAAACAUAUCAUGUAUGGAAGAUAUCAAUAAUUGGGUUUCUGAAUUUGGGGAGUUGAAUUUUAGUCAUUGGAACUAUCGCUCCAGUAUUCCGAAUGGCCAACGAAUUGUUUGCUCUAAAAAAUUUGUAUGUCAACAUAGUAAUUUUAAAAAGCCUAAUAUUAAUAAAAAAGGAUUAUCUAAAAAUGCGAAUUGCCCAGCUACAAUUGAUGUAACAAUAAAACUUAAUACUACUGCAACUAAAAAAAAAGAUCCAUUUAUAAAGGGAUUUUAUUGGAGUUGGUGAUUUAUUGUGUCAUUACAUGUUUAUAUAAAUAUAAUAUAUAUUUAUAUUAUAUGUUUUUAUGCAGAUAUGUUCAUUAAUUUGACAGACUUUGACUUUAGAUAGUCUUUAAUUGUCAACUGGGAAGCAAGAACUUGGCUGAGGACUCAUUGAAUGGUGUACAUCCAUCAGGAAAACUUCAGUCCUUAUGUUAUAAUAUAACAAUAUAAUAUAUUAUGUUACUUUUUGUUGCUUUUUCUUUUACAGCUUAUAAUUAUGUCUUUAGGAUUAAGAGGACGUUAUACCCGCAUGUGUUGUCUCCGUCUUACAAGUGCGUAACAUAGCAAAUUCUACGCUCAGCAGAACACGUGUAGUUCCGUUGGUUUAAA
rnacentral:misc_RNA from 1 species